rnacentral:rRNA from 1 species
GAAGCGGCAACAGCUCAAAUUUGAAAUCUGGCCUCUUGGGGUCCGAGUUGUAAUUUGGAGAGGAUGUUUCGGGUACGGUCCGGGCUUAAAUUUCUUGGAACAGAAUGUCACAGAGGGUGAGAAUCCCGUCUGGAGUCUGCGACACGGCCUAUGUGAAACUCCUUCGACGAGUCGAGUUGUUUGGGAAUGCAGCUCUAAAUGGGUGGUAAAUUUCAUCUAAAGCUAAAUAUUGGCCAGAGACCGAUAGCGCACAAGUAGAGUGAUCGAAAGAUGAAAAGCACUUUGAAAAGAGAGUUAAACAGUACGUGAAAUUGUUGAAAGGGAAGCGCUGGCAACCAGACUUGCGCGUCGGGGUUCCCCCUUGCUUCUGCUUGGGCUACUCCCCGGCGUUCAGGCCAACAUCGGUUUUGGGGGUCGGUUAAAGGCCCCGGGAAUGUACCUACCCUUCGGGGUAGACUUAUAGCCCGGGGUGUCAUGCGGCCACCCGGGACCGAGGAACGCGCUUCGGCUCGGAUGUUGGCGUAAUGGUUGUCAGCGACCCGUCUUGAAACACGGACCAAGGAGUCUAACAUCUAUGCGAGUGUUAGGGUGUCAAACCCUUACGCGGAAUGAAAGUGAACGGAGGUAGGAAGCCGUAACACGCUGCACUAUCGACCGAUCCUGAAGUUUACGGAUGGAUUUGAGUAAGAGCAUAGCUGUUGGGACCCGAAAGAUGGUGAAC